UGUUAACCUUAAACUGGCGCUCGGACCUCCGAACUCGACGACGCCGCCGCCGCACCGGGAAAAGAAAGUGGGCGAGAUCGCGAGGGAAAUCAUCGCAGGCUCCGUUGUUCCGUUGGGAUGAGGGCAAAGUGGAAGAAGAAGCGGAUGCGGAGACUCAAGAGGAAGCGACGAAAGAUGAGGCAGAGAUCCAAGUAGUAUGUGUCCAUGAAGAGGACAGUCAUGCACUUCUCACCAAUGCUUCUCAUGUUGUGAGAGGUGUGUUGAUGGAGUUUUGCUUAGUAGCUCUCUAAUGCUUAAUAUUUGCACUCAGUUAUUAGCUUUUCUUGUUUCUUUUUGCCUUAUUAUAUGUCUCUGUAGCUGUUCCUUCUCAACCUUUUAAUGGUGCUUGCUUCAAUUCUUAAUCAUGUUUGUUUUUUCUCUUA